rnacentral:rRNA from 2 species
AAAUUGAAGAGUUUGAUCAUGGCUCAGAUUGAACGCUGGCGGCAGGCCUAACACAUGCAAGUCGAACGGUAGCACAGAGAGCUUGCUCUCGGGUGACGAGUGGCGGACGGGUGAGUAAUGUCUGGGAAACUGCCUGAUGGAGGGGGAUAACUACUGGAAACGGUGGCUAAUACCGCAUAACGUCGCAAGACCAAAGAGGGGGACCUUCGGGCCUCUUGCCAUCAG